GACGAACGCUGGCGGCGUGCUUAACACAUGCAAGUCGAACGGAAAGGCCCUGCUUUUGUGGGGUGCUCGAGUGGCGAACGGGUGAGUAACACGUGAGUAACCUGCCCUUGACUUUGGGAUAACUUCAGGAAACUGGGGCUAAUACCGGAUAGGAGCUCCUGCUGCAUGGUGGGGGUUGGAAAGUUUCGGCGGUUGGGGAUGGACUCGCGGCUUAUCAGCUUGUUGGUGGGGUAGUGGCUUACCAAGGCUUUGACGGGUAGCCGGCCUGGGAGGGUGACCGGCCCCAUUGGGACUGGGGUACGGCCCAGACUCCUACGGGAGGCAACAGUGGGGGAUAUUGCACAAUGGGCGGAAGCCUGAUGCAGCAACCCCGCGUGCGGGAUGACGGCCUUCGGGUUUUAAACCGCUUUCGCCUGUGACGAAGCGUGAGUGACGGUAAUGGGUAAAGAAGCACCGGCUAACUACGUG
rnacentral:rRNA from 1 species